UACGUAGGGUGCAAGCGUUGUCCGGAAUUAUUGGGCGUAAAGAGCUCGUAGGCGGUCUGUCGCGUCGGCUGUGAAAACUCGGGGCUCAACCCCGAGCCUGCAGUCGAUACGGGCAGACGUAGAGUGCGGUAGGGGAGACUGGAAUUCCUGGUGUAGCGGUGAAAUGCGCAGAUAUCAGGAGGAACACCGGUGGCGAAGGCGGGUCUCUGGGCCGUAACUGACGCUGAGGAGCGAAAGCGUGGGGAGCAAACAGG
rnacentral:rRNA from 1 species